rnacentral:miRNA from 1 species
AAAGAUCUCUCACUGUUGGCGGAC